UACGGAGGAUCCAAGCGUUAUCCGGAUUUAUUGGGUUUAAAGGGUGCGUAGGUGGCUUUUUAAGUCAGUGGUGAAAGCCUGCAGCUUAACUGUAGGACUGCCAUUGAUACUGAGGAGCUUGAGUACUGAUGAGGUAGGCGGAAUUGAUAGUGUAGCGGUGAAAUGCAUAGAUAUUAUCAAGAACACCGAUUGCGAAGGCAGCUUACUGAGGAGUUACUGACACUGAGGCACGAAAGCGUGGGGAUCAAACAGG
rnacentral:rRNA from 1 species